CCUACGGGAGGCAGCAGUGGGGAAUUUUGGACAAUGGGCGCAAGCCUGAUCCAGCAAUGCCGCGUGAGUGAAGAAGGCCUUCGGGUUGUAAAGCUCUUUUGUCAGGGAAGAAACGGUGAGGGCUAAUAUCCUUUGCUAAUGACGGUACCUGAAGAAUAAGCACCGGCUAACUACGUGCCAGCAGCCGCGGUAAUACGUAGGGUGCAAGCGUUAAUCGGAAUUACUGGGCGUAAAGCGUGCGCAGGCGGUUUUGUAAGUCUGAUGUGAAAUCCCCGGGCUCAACCUGGGAAUUGCAUUGGAGACUGCAAGGCUAGAAUCUGGCAGAGGGGGGUAGAAUUCCACGUGUAGCAGUGAAAUGCGUAGAUAUGUGGAGGAACACCGAUGGCGAAGGCAGCCCCCUGGGUCAAGAUUGACGCUCAUGCACGAAAGCGUGGGGAGCAAACAGGAUUAGAUACCCUGGUAGUCCACGCCCUAAACGAUGUCUACUAGUUGUCGGGUCUUAAUUGACUUGGUAACGCAGCUAACGCGUGAAGUAGACCGCCUGGGGAGUACGGUCGCAAGAUUAAAAACUCAAAAUGAAGUUAGUACGGACGUGAGACGNGCCGAACGGACGACGACGAGGGAGGAGGGAG
rnacentral:rRNA from 1 species